GACGAACGCUGGCGGCGUGCUUAACACAUGCAAGUCGAACGGAAAGGCCCUGCUUUUGUGGGGUGCUCGAGUGGCGAACGGGUGAGUAACACGUGAGUAACCUGCCCUUGACUUUGGGAUAACUUCAGGAAACUGGGGCUAAUACCGGAUAGGAGCUCCUGCUGCAUGGUGGGGGUUGGAAAGUUUCGGCGGUUGGGGAUGGACUCGCGGCUUAUCAGCUUGUUGGUGGGGUAGUGGCUUACCAAGGCUUUGACGGGUAGCCGGCCUGAGAGGGUGACCGGCCACAUUGGGACUGAGAUACGGCCCAGACCCCCACGGGAGGCAGCAGUGGGGAAUAUUGCACAAAGGGGGGAAGCCUGAUGCAGCAACGCCGGGGGCGGGGAGGCGGCCUUGGGGUUGUAAACCCCUUUCCCCGGUGACGAAGGGGGAGUGGCGGUAAUGGGUAAAAGAGCCCCGGCUGACUACGU
rnacentral:rRNA from 1 species